UUUCUUGCUUGAUCCAUCCCAACGAUGAGGAUGAUCCUUCGAUUGAACUGCAGUCUCCUUACUUUUGGUUGAGAGCCAGAAACAGAAGGGGACCCCAAGAAGAUCUCAGCCCCCUUAUAAGUAAGUUUUUUUGAUCUGUAAUUCCUUGCCCUCUUUGUUGUGCUGGAAUUUUGCCAUAUCUCUCUAAUGAUACAACUCGUUUUCAGUGUGGUCCUGACUCCUGACGAUCCAAUCGACGAAGAAAUGCACAGUUUUGUGAAAAAUACACCGGUGCUGUUGAAUGGGUUUUUUGGUGCUUUUAUAAGUUCCAUAGCUAGCUCUCUUGAUACAACAACUUACUUUCUGUUUUUCUUUUCCUCUUUCGUUGACGACUUAUGGAGUUCUGGGCAGCACUUUUCUGGAAGCUCUACACAGUCCAACUCUCAGCUCGAUCAAGAAGUGAAAACAAACAUGAAACCAACUCUUCAACUUUCUCACGAAAAUCUGUUUGCUUUGUCUUCCAGGACCAAAACUGUAGCUCUUUACAGAUCCAUGUGCCAGAAUUGGUCAGCAGGAUUCUCACAAACGUGGAGUGGCACCUUGUCUUCACAAAAAUAUGAUUCAUAUUGUCUAUUUGGAUGAAAUUUGUUUAAAUGAGCAUUGUUUAUUUGCUUGAGCUUCAGUUAUUAUGAAUGGUGCUAAGUUAAAUUUUUGACUUUA
rnacentral:lncRNA from 1 species